rnacentral:rRNA from 1 species
ACUCCUACGGGAGGCAGCAGUGGGGAAUAUUGCACAAUGGGCGCAAGCCUGAUGCAGCCAUGCCGCGUGUGUGAAGAAGGCCUUCGGGUUGUAAAGCACUUUCAGUUGUGAGGAAGGUGGUGGUCGUUAAUAGCGGCAUCAUUUGACGUUAGUAACAGAAGAAGCAACCGGCUAACUCCGGUGCCAGCAGCCGCGGUAAUACGGAGGGUGCGAGCGUUAAUCGGAAUUACUGGGCGUAAAGCGCAUGUAGGUGGUUUGUUAAGUCAGAUGUGAAAGCCCGGGGCUCAACCUCGGAACUGCA